CAGGUUUCUGUAACACAACAUGGGUUCCUCGUAAUGCAGGAUAAAACUUAACGGCCCAUAUACCGAAUUAAUGGCACCAUCUUCAAAUCCUAUGUACUCCACCUCCUAAUUCGGUGAAGUCAGCUGAACUGAGAGCCGGACUGCACCAUCAAAGGGAACUGUGGUUUAGUGUCACAUUGCCAGAUGAAAGGAUGCAUGGCCGCCAGCAUCCAAGAUGACGCCAGCGAUCCUCUGCUUUGCCCAUUCCUCUCGCACACUGAAUACAGCUAACCUGUGUGUUACCGCAGGAUGCUGAGCAAGCAACAAGGUGUGAUUUCUGACACUGGGUUGUACUAACUGUGUGGCUUCUGCUAUUUUGUCUCUUGGAUCACCUGAUCUGGGAAAACCACCAUCCACGUCAGGAGGACAUUCAAUGGUCCUGAUAAAGAGUUCCACACAGAGAGAAAUGCCAGUCUUUUGUGAACAACCAGCACCGAUGUGGCCACCAGGAGAGUAAAUCAAAACGAAGUGGACAUGCCUUCAGAGUUGUCCCACCCGGCUAACAUGGCCGCUGCCAGUGCCCGAGACCUCCCCAGGCUGGACCGCCUAGCUUAGCUGCUCAAGGUGUGAUCCAUAGGAACUGAAUGAGAAUAAAUGCUUAUCAUUUUUUUUU